rnacentral:lncRNA from 1 species
UACUAGAACACACCCGUGAUAUCGCGGGUCCGUGACUGAAUUAAAGUAUAUAACUAUGCGCAAGCCUUAUUUUAAUAUUAGUAUUGUCAUCUGAUAAAGUCAUGCCGAUUAUAAGAUACAAAUUGAAAACUGUACCUAUACGCCUUAUUUUAGUCCAGAUUUUUAGUAUUCGUAUUGUUAUCUUAGAAAGUUUUACUGAUUAAAAUGCUACAAUAGGUAACAAUUUGACAAUCUAGUAGUGUCAACCCUGUGAAUAUGACCCGUGUAUAUAGCAUAUUAAUCCUGAUUACACCGUUUGGUGGUGCGCCUGUCAGAUACGGAACGUACAAAUAAGGCAAUAGGUAACAGGU